CCCGUGUUUAGUUCAGUAGGACAUCCCGUGUUUAGUUCAGUAGGAUCAUUCUGUGUUUAGUUCAGUAGGAUCAUCCCGUGUUUAGUUCAGUAGGAACAUCCCGUGUUUAGUUCAGUAGGACCAUCCCCUUGUUUAGUUCAGUAUGAUCAUCCCGUGUUUAGUUCAGUAGGAUCAUCCCGUGUUUAGUUCAGUAGUAUCAUCCCGUGUUUUAGUUCAGUAGGAACAUCCCGUGUUUAGUUCAGUAGGAUCAUCCCGUGUUUAGUUCAGUAGGAUCAUUCUGUGUUUAGUUCAGUAGGAUCAUCCCGUGUUUAGUUCAGUAGGAUCAUCCCGUGUUUAGUUCAGUAGGAUCAUCCUGUGUUUAGUUCAGUAGGAUCAUCCCGUGUUUAGUUCAGUAGGAUCAUCCCGUGUUUAGUUCAGUAGGAUCAUCCCGUGUUUAGUUCAGUAGGAUCAUCCCGUAUUUUAGUUCAGUAGCAUCAUCCCGUGUUUAGUUCAGUAGGACAUCCCGUGUUUAGUUCAGUAGGAUCAUUCUGUGUUUAGUUCAGUAGGAUCAUCCCGUGUUUAGUUCAGUAGGAACAUCCCGUGUUUAGUUCAGUAGGACCAUCCCCUUGUUUAGUUCAGUAGGAUCAUCCCGUGUUUAGUUCAGUAGGAACAUCCCGUGUUUAGUUCAGUAGGACCAUCCCCUUGUUUAGUUCAGUAUGAUCAUCCCGUGUUUAGUUCAGUAGGAACAUCCCGUGUUUAGUUCAGUAGGAUUAUCCCGUGUUUAGUUCAGUAGGAUCAUCCCGUGUUUUAGUUCAGUAGGAGCAUCCCGUGUUUAGUUCAGUAGGACCAUCCCGUGUUUAGUUCAGUAGGAAUCAUCCCGUGUUUAGUUCAGUAGGAUCAUCCUGUGUUUAGUUCAGUAGGAUCAUCCCGUGUUUAGUUCAGUAGGACAUCCCGUGUUUAGUUCAGUAGGAUCAUCCCGUGUUUAGGCCACCAUUUCACUACUAGAGUAUUAUAGCAACAGCCAGGGAUUUGCAAUCCAUUCCAGUGUUCAUUUUAUUCCAUGCACGGUGUUCUAUUCCAUUCCAUGCCAGUGUUCCAUUCCAGCUCAAUUCCAGUUCCAUGCCUGUGUUCCAAUACAGUUCCAUGCCAGUGUUCCAUUCCAGCUCUAUUCCAGUUCCAUGUCAGUGUUCCAUUCCAGUUCCAUGCCAGUGUUCCAUUCCAGUUCCAUGCCAGUGUUCCAUUCCAGUUCCAUGCCAGUGUUCCAUUCCAGUUCCUUCCCAGUGUUCCAUUCCAGUUCCUUGCCAGUGUUCCAUUCCAGUGUUCCAAUACAGUUCCAUGCCAGUGUUCCAUUCCAGCUCUAUUCCAGUUCCAUGCCUGUGUUCCAAUAGAGUUCCAUGCCAGUGUUCCAUUCCAGUUCCUUGCCAGUGUUCCAUUCCAGUUCCAUGCCAGUGUUCCAUUUCAUUCCAUGCCAGUGUUCCAUUUCAUUCCAUGCCAGUGUUCCAUUCAAGUGUUCCAAUACAGUUCCAUGCCAGUGUUCCAUUCCAGCUCUAUUCCAGUUCCAUGCCUGUGUUCCAAUACAGUUCCAUGCCAGUGUUCCAUUCCAGCUGUAUUCCAGUUCCUUGCCAGUGUUCCAUUCCGGUUCCUUGCCAGUGUUCCAUUCCGGUUCCAUGCCAGUGUUCCAUCUUAUUCCAUGCCAGUGUUCCAUUCCAUGCCAGUGUUCCAUUCCAGUGUUCCAAUACAGUUCCAUGCCAGUGUUCCAAUACAGUUCCAUGCCAGUGUUCCAUUCCAGUGUUCCAUUCCAGUUCCAUGCCAGUGUUCUAUCUUAUUCCAUGCCAGUGUUCCAUUCCAUGCCAGUGUUCCAUUCCAGCUCUAUUCCAGUUCCAUGCCUGUGUUCCAAUACAGUUCCAUGCCAGUGUUCCAUUCCAGCUGUAUUCCAGUUCCUUGCCAGUGUUCCAUUCCAGUUCCUUGCCAGUGUUCCAUUCCAGUUCCUUGCCAGUGUUCCAUUCCAGUUCCAUGCCAGUGUUCCAUCUUAUUCCAUGCCAGUGUUCCAUUCCAUGCCAGUGUUCCAUUCCAGUGUUCCAAUACAGUUCCAUGCCAGUGUUCCAAUACAGUUCCAUGCCAGUGUUCCAUUCCAGUGUUCCAUUCCAGUUCCAUGCCAGUGUUCUAUCUUAUUCCAUGCCAGUGUUCCAUUCCAUGGCAGUGUUCCAUUCCAGCUCUAUUCCAGUUCCAUGCCUGUGUUCCAAUACAGUUCCAUGCCAGUGUUCCAUUCCAGCUCUAUUCCAGUUCCUUGCCAGUGUUCCAUUCCAGUUCCUUGCCAGUGUUCCAUUCCAGUUCCUUGCCAGUGUUCCAUUCCAGUUCCUUGCCAGUGUUCCAUUCCAGUUCCUUGCCAGUGUUGUCAGUGUUCCAUUCCAGUUCCAUGCCAGUGUUCCAAUCCAGUUCCUUGCCAGUGUUCCAUUCCAUUCCAUGCCAGUGUUCCAUUCCAGCUCUAUUCCAGUUCCUUGCCUGUGUUCCAUUCCAUUUCCAUGCCAGUGUUCCAUUCCAGCUCUAUUCCAGUUCCUUGCCUGUGUUCCAUUCCAUUUCCAUGCCAGUGUUCCAUUCCAGUUCCUUGCCAGUGUUGUCUGCAGCACUCUGCACUCCGUAGUGUAGUGUGCUUGUGUUUAGGUUUUCAAAAUCCUAGAUCCUACAUUCCCUGACAGAGACAGAGCUAUCAUGCUCAGUCAUCAUCCUCUCUCUCUCUCUGUCUCACAGAAGGCCUUUUCCUCCCCUUCCUCUAUAAAUGCAAGCGACGCAAAGCGUGAGAUUAGGCUCCCCUGACCUUUAACAGUGCUGAUAGCAGCCGCUGCGGAUGUCAGGGAACUCACAGCCGACACCAAACAAGGGUGUUUCCCAAAUGGCACCCUAUUCCCUGCAUAGUGCACCUAGGGUCUGGUCAACACUAGUGUACCAUAUAGGGAGUAGGGUGCCAUUGGGAACGCAGACAUGCUUAUAGUUCACAGCACACAGCUAAAUUACAGAUCUCUGUGAUAGCAGGUAAAGAAAUUAUUAUCGUAAACUGACGUGAUAAUUACAGACGGUUGGAAAAAGGUUAUCGGUCAACACAAAACAAGCCUCCAUGCUCCAGGAAAGCAGGCCUACUGCACCAAGCAGAGCAAUCAUAGAUUAUGUCUAGAUCAGACUGACUGCAUCCCAAAUGACACCCUUUUCCCUAUAUAGUGCACUACUUUUGACUAGGGCCCACUCUGGUGCAAAGUAGUGCACUACAGAUGUUAGCUCUUAAUUUGAUCCCCCUUCUGUUGCAGGAAAUGUCAUGCACAGCAGGAAACGCAAACUUCUGGUGUAUUCCAGGUUUAAAAAGGCGUCUUAAGUUUGUAAUUUCCACUUUAAAAUUUCAGACUUGAUUUACCGUAACAAAAAAAUGCAUCAACCCUUACAAAAAUGUCCAUGAAUUAUAAUCCACAUAAAUCACAUUUCCUGAUGCUGCAGGAUUAUUUUCCUGCUGUGAUAAACUGGUCAAAUUAAGAUCCUACACGGGAUAAGGGUGCCACUUGGGAUGUAGACUCGGAAUGCUUCUAGGGGACUACUAUGGACGAAUGGACAAAACCCUCCCUACUACAUAACCCUGACCAGUAGGCUGUUGAAGAACAACCCUGUCUCUGACCAAUGGGCUGUUGAAGAACAACCCUGUCUCUGACCAAUGGGCUGUUGAAGAACAACCCUGUCUCUGACCAGUAGGCCAGUAGGCUGUUGAAGAACAACCCUGUCUCUGACCAAUGGGCUGUUGAAGAACAACCCUGUCUCUGACCAGUAGGCCAGUAGGCUGUUG
rnacentral:lncRNA from 1 species